UCUGGGCAAAGGUAAAUGUAUG
rnacentral:miRNA from 1 species